UACGGGGGGGGCAAGCGUUGUUCGGAAUUACUGGGCGUAAAGGGCUCGUAGGCGGCCAACUAAGUCGGAUGUGAAAUCCCCAGGCUCAACCUGGGAACUGCAUCCGAUACUGGAUGGCUUGAAUUCGGGAGAGGGAUGCAGAAUUCCAGGUGUAGCGGUGAAAUGCGUAGAUAUCGGAAGGAACAUCAGUGGCGAAGGCGACUUCCUGGACCAAUACUGACACUCAGGUGCGAAGGCGUGGGGAGCAAACAGG
rnacentral:rRNA from 1 species